rnacentral:rRNA from 1 species
GACGAACGCUGGCGGCGUGCCUAAUACAUGCAAGUAGGACGCAGUCGCGAACGGGUGAGCAACGCGUAGGUAACUGUCUAUUAGUGGGGGAUAACUACUGGAAACGAUAGCUAAUACCGCAUACUAGUAGAUGUACCUGCUUUGUAUUAGCUAGUAGGUAGGGUAAUGGCCUACCUAGGCUAAGAUACAUAGCCGACGUGGAGGGGAGGUCGGCCAAACUGGGACUGAGGAAAGGCCCAAACCUCUUCGGGGGGCAGGAGUAGGGGAACUUCGGAAAUGGGGGGAAACCUGAACGAGCAACGCCGCGUGAGUGAAAAAAGUUUUCGGGUCGUAAAACUAUGUUGUUAGAGAAGCGGUACUUAAACAGGAAGGGACGGCUAACUACGUGCCAGCAGCCGCGGUAAUAC